rnacentral:rRNA from 1 species
CUGUGGAAGCACAUUUCUUGUGUGACCGCGUACUUUUUGUAGAACGGGCCAACGAGUUACGUUAAGUAGCAAGGUUAAGCACUUAAGGUGCGGAGCCGUAGCGAAAGCGAGUUUUAACUGAGCGUUCAGUUACUUGACGUAGACCCGAAACCGGGCGACCUACCCAUGAGCAGGAUGAAGCGAAAGUAAAAUUUCGUGGAGGUCCGAACCCACGAGCGUUGAAAAGCUCGGGGAUGACUUGUGGGUAGCGGUGAAAUUCCAAUCGAGCCCGGAGAUAGCUGGUUCUCCCCGAAAUAGCUUUAGGGCUAGCCUCAAGGUGAGAGAUACGGAGGUAGAGCACUGAAUGUCCUAGGGGGUAUUGCACCUACCGAAGACUAUCAAACUCCGAAUGCCGUCAUCUUAUACUUGGGAGUCAGACUGUGGGUGAUAAGAUUCAUAGUCGAAAGGGCAACAGCCCAGAUCGUCAGCUAAGGUCCCUAAAUGUAAGUUAAGUGGUAAAGGAUGUGGGAUUGCACAGACAACCAGGAUGUUGGCUUAGAAGCAGCCACUCAUUCAAAGAGUGCGUAAUAGCUCACUGGUCGAGUGAUCCUGCGCCGAAGAUUUCCGGGGCUAAAACUUACUACCGAAGCUACGGCAUCAGUAAUGAUGGGUAGGGGAGCUUCCCAUACGGGUUGAAGCAUGACCGUAAGGACAUGUGGACAGUAUGGGAGUGAGAAUGUUGGCAUGAGUAGCGAGAUGUGGGUGAGAAUCCCACAGGCCGUAAACCCAAGGUUUCCAGGGGAAGGUUCGUCCGCCCUGGGUUAGUCGGGACCUAAGCUGAGGCCGAAAGGCGUAGGUGAUGGACAACAGGUUGAUAUUCCUGUACUACCGAUAACCGUUUGAGAGAAGGGAUGACACAGUAGGAUAAGCUAAGCACACUGUUGGUUAUGUGUGCCCAAGCAUUGAGGCAGUCAAAGUAGGCAAAUCCGCUUUGAUAAUGCUGGGAUGUGAUGGGGAGCGAAAUUUAGUAGCGAAGUAGCUGAUUUCACACUGUCAAGAAAAGUCUCUAUCGAGGUUAAAGGUACCCGUACCGCAAACCGACACAGGUGGGUGAGGAGAGUAUCCUAAGGCCAGCGAGAGAACUGUUGUUAAGGAACUCGGCAAAAUGACCCCGUAACUUAGGGAUAAGGGGUGCCACCAUCAGGUGGCCGCAGAGAAUAGGCCCAAGCGACUGUUUACCAAAAACAUAGGUUUCUGCUAAGUCGCAAGACGAUGUAUAGGAGCUGACGCCUGCCCGGUGCUGGAAGGUUAAGGGGAUCUGUUAGAGCAAUCGAAGCAGUGAACUUAAGCCCCAGUAAACGGCGGCCGUAACUAUAACGGUCCUAAGGUAGCGAAAUUCCUUGUCGGGUAAGUUCCGACCCGCACGAAAGGCGUAACGAUUUGGGCACUGUCUCAACAACAGACUCGGUGAAAUUGUAAUUCCGGUGAAGAUGCCGGAUACCUGCGACAGGACGGAAAGACCCCAUGGAGCUUUACUGUAGCUUGACAUUGGGUCUUGGUACUACAUGUACAGGAUAGGUGGGAGGCUUUGAAACCAGGACGCCAGUUUUGGCGGAGCCAUCCUUGGGAUACCACCCUUGUA